AUGAGUAUUCUAAGGCGCUUGAGAGAACUCAGGAGAAGGAACUCGGCAAAUUGAUACCGUAACUUCGGGAGAAGGUAUGCCCCAAGUAGGUGAACUCGUACAGAGGGAGCCCAAAGGGGUUGCAAAAAAUCGGUGGCUGCGACUGUUUAAUAAAAACACAGCACUCUGCAAACACGAAAGUGGACGUAUAGGGUGUGACGCCUGCCCGGUGCUGGAAGAUUAAAUGAUGGGGUGCAAGCUCUUGAUUGAAGUCCCAGUAAACGGCGGCCGUAACUAUAACGGUCCUAAGGUAGCGAAAUUCCUUGUCGGGUAAGUUCCGACCUGCACGAAUGGCGUAACGAUGGCCACACUGUCUCCUCCUGAGACUCAGCGAAGUUGAAAUGUUUGUGAUGAUGCAAUCUCCCCGCGGAAAGACGGAAAGACCCCAUGAACCUUUACUGUAGCUUUGUAUUGGACUUUGAACAGAUCUGUGUAGGAUAGGUGGGAGGCUUUGAAGUAGGGUCGCUAGAUCUUAUGGAGCCAACGUUGAAAUACCACCCUGGUGUGUUUGAGGUUCUAACCUAGGUCCAUUAUCUGGAUCGGGGACAGUGCAUGGUAGGCAGUUUGACUGGGGCGGUCUCCUCCCAAAGCGUAACGGAGGAGUUCGAAGGUACGCUAGUUACGGUCGGACAUCGUGACGAUAGUGCAAUGGCAUAAGCGUGCUUAACUGCGAGACUGACAAGUCGAGCAGAUGCGAAAGCAGGACAUAGUGAUCCGGUGGUUCUGUAUGGAAGGGCCAUCGCUCAACGGAUAAAAGGUACUCUGGGGAUAACAGGCUGAUACCGCCCAAGAGUUCAUAUCGACGGCGGUGUUUGGCACCUCGAUGUCGGCUCAUCUCAUCCUGGGGCUGUAGCCGGUCCCAAGGGUAUGGCUGUUCGCCAUUUAAAGAGGUACGUGAGCUGGGUUUAAAACGUCGUGAGACAGUUUGGUCCCUAUCUUCCGUGGGCGCUGCAGAUUUGAGGAAGCCUGCUCCUAGUACGAGAGGACCGGAGUGGACACACCUCUGGUGUAUCGGUUGUCACGCCAGUGGCAUCGCCGGGUAGCUAAGUGUGGAAGAGAUAACCGCUGAAAGCAUCUAAGCGGGAAACUCGUUUCAAGAUGAGAUCUGCCGGGGCCUUGAGCCCCCUAAAGAGUCGUUCAAGACCAGGACGUUGAUAGGCUGGGUGUGGAAGCGCAGUAAUGCGUUAAGCUAACCAGUACUA
rnacentral:rRNA from 1 species